UACAGAGGGUGCAAGCGUUGUUCGGAAUUAUUGGGCGUAAAGGGCGCGUAGGCGGUGCCACAAGUCACCUGUGAAAUCUCCGGGCUUAACUCGGAGCCUGCAGGCGAAACUGUGGUGCUGGAGUGUGGGAGAGGGGGGUGGAAUUCCGCGUGUAGCAGUGAAAUGCGUAGAGAUGUGGAGGAACACCGAUGGCGAAGGCAGCCCCCUGGGCCAAUACUGACGCUCAUGCACGAAAGCGUGGGGAGCAAACAGG
rnacentral:rRNA from 1 species